ensembl:snoRNA
CCUCUCUCUACCCUGCAUGGUUUCCCUAGUUGUUCUAUGAUUUUUUCAUAUCAGAGAGAGAGUAAACAGCUCUUUGGGACCUUGGACUGGUCUCAUGGUGGUCUUUUCCUUGAGGAGUACAACAGAA